GAACGUUAUUCGGAAUCACUGGGCUUAAAGCGCGUGUAGGCGGGACGGCACGUCGGUCGCUGAAAUCCCCCGGCUUAACCGGGGAACGGGCGUCGAUACGACCGUCCUGGAGGGGCGUAGGGGGACCUGGAACUUCCGGUGGAGCGGUGAAAUGCGUUGAGAUCGGAAGGAACGCCCGUGGCGAAAGCGAGGUCCUGGACGCCUACUGACGCUGAGACGCGAAAGCCAGGGGAGCGAACGGG
rnacentral:rRNA from 1 species